rnacentral:rRNA from 1 species
AGUUUGAUCAUGGCUCAGAUUGAACGCUGGCGGCAUGCCUUACACAUGCAAGUCGAACGGCAGCACGGGAGCCUGCUCCUGGUGGCGAGUGGCGAACGGGUGAGUAAUACAUCGGAACGUACCCUGAAGUGGGGGAUAACGUAGCGAAAGUUACGCUAAUACCGCAUAUUCUGUGAGCAGGAAAGAGGGGGAUCGCAAGACCUCUUGCUUUAGGAGCGGCCGAUGUCGGAUUAGCUAGUUGGUGAGGUAAAGGCUCACCAAGGCGACGAUCCGUAGCGGGUCUGAGAGGAUGAUCCGCCACACUGGGACUGAGACACGGCCCAGACUCCUACGGGAGGCAGCAGUGGGGAAUUUUGGACAAUGGGCGCAAGCCUGAUCCAGCCAUGCCGCGUGAGUGAAGAAGGCCUUCGGGUUGUAAAGCUCUUUCGGUGGGGAAGAAAUUGCUUCGGUUAAUACCUGGAGUAGGUGACGGUACCCGCAUAAGAAGCACCGGCUAACUACGUG